rnacentral:lncRNA from 12 species
AUGGUGCUCGGAGCCGGGAACGCAGCUGCCGCCGCCCAGCCCCGCGCCCUGCGCCCCGAGCCCCGAGCACCGUGUCCGCGGACACGCGCUCUGCUGCCCCCUGCCGGUCUCCGUGCGCCGCGCCCGCCCGGCCGCCGACAGCCGCCGCGCGAACCCCGGCGCUCGGGCGCCCCCCGGUGGCCGCGCCUGCGCACUGACCGCGGACAGGCCAGAGGCCCCCAGCGCCAGGGGCCCGCGGCUCCGCCCCGCCCCGGCCCCCCUCCUCAGCCCUUUUCCCAGGGGAUGGCUGACAGGCCACCCACCUCACACUGGCUGGACCCAAGGAAGGGAGAGGGGGCUCAGAGUCAUCAUGGGUUGAGUGGGCCUUAUAGGGUCCCCGGGAUUCCUGAUGGUGUGGACUUGGGGGAUUGCUUUGGCAAUGGGGCUGAAACAGACCAUCCCAAAGAAUGGGGGUCUUCCCCACCCGUGGGAGUUCAGUAUUCCAAGGGAGCAGGAAUGUUCUGGAAAGAGCUUCUCGGAGCCCCCGCCCGGCCUGAGCACUGGAGUCCCCUGGAGGGGCGGGACUGCUUUGGAGCUGGCAGCCGCAGGGCCACCAGGUGCACACUGGGCACACCGGGGCAUCUCAUCCCUGCGUCCCACGCGCCUGGGCUCAGCCGCAGUUCUCUGCGAGCUCGCCCCAGACUAAACCCCUGGCCCUGUCCUGGCCAUUUGUCUCUCCCCUGCGCUUUGAUCCCACCCCUGCGCUGGCAGCCACGUGACAGCAGGCUCGCCUGUGUCACCUGUGUGUGGACGGGGCUGGCAGCCCGCGGUAGCCUCCACUCAAUGCACCGUGGACGAAUGCCCAGAACGUGGAGGGCAAGGGUACGCCCUCCAGGUGGCAAAGCAGGGCUGAGGCCAAAGGCGCCGGCGAGAAGCGGAGGAGCUUCCUCUGCCGGGCAUGGGCACGGGUGCCGCUGGCCGCAGUCAGGGGAGACCUCCGCAGGAGGUGCGUUCUCAGCUGGCGGGGAGGCUGAGGCUACGGGUUUACAACAGGAUCCAGGAGCCCGGCGGUCACAUAGCCCUACCCACUCCUGA